UUUCCGUAGGUGAACCUGCGGAAGGAUCAUUGCUAAAAACAAUAAUUUUAUAAACCCCAAAACCUUUUUAUGUGUGAACCAUUAUUACGGAGAAGAAGAGAUGGAAAAUUGCCCUUAAAAGCAAAAAAAAAGUCUCUUUCUCUGUAAUUUUUUAUUAAACUCCAUAAUAUAUAAUUUAAACAAAAAAACCAAGUCUAAAAAAAAAAGAAUUUUUAUAUUCGAAAGAUAAUAAUAAAAACAACUUUUAACAACGGAUCUCUUGGUUCUCGCAUCGAUGAAGAACGCGGC
rnacentral:misc_RNA from 1 species